UAACGCGUGAGGAACCUGCCUCAAAGAGGGGGACAACAGUUGGAAACGACUGCUAAUACCGCAUAAGCCCACGACCCGGCAUCGGGUUGAGGGAAAAGGAGCAAUCCGCUUUGAGAUGGCCUCGCGUCCGAUUAGCUAGUUGGUGAGGUAACGGCCCACCAAGGCGACGAUCGGUAGCCGGACUGAGAGGUUGAACGGCCACAUUGGGACUGAGACGCGGCCCAGACUCCUACGGGAGGCAGCAGUGGGGAAUAUUGCACAAUGGGGGAAACCCUGAUGCAGCGACGCCGCGUGGAGGAAGAAGGUCUUCGGAUUGUAAACUCCUGUUGUUGAGGAAGAUAAUGACGGUACUCAACAAGGAAGUGACGGCUAACUACGUGCCAGCAGCCGCGGUAAAACGUAGGUCACAAGCGUUGUCCGGAAUUACUGGGUGUAAAGGGAGCGCAGGCGGGAAGACAAGUUGGAAGUGAAAUCCAUGGGCUCAACCCAUGAACUGCUUUCAAAACUGUUUUUCUUGAGUAGUGCAGAGGUAGGCGGAAUUCCCGGUGUAGCGGUGGAAUGCGUAGAUAUCGGGAGGAACACCAGUGGCGAAGGCGGCCUACUGGGCACCAACUGACGCUGAGGCUCGAAAGUGUGGGUAGCAAACAGGAUUAGAUACCCUGGUAGUCCACACUGUAAACGAUGAUUACUAGGUGU
rnacentral:rRNA from 1 species